CCUGGUUGGAAUCAGGCGCUAUGCGCAUUGCAAGAAGCAGAGACACUCUCGAUACAUUUGACUUUAAGUCAGCAGCGGCACGCUUAACAGCUGCAAAAUAUCGAAAGAAGUAAAACUAGAACUGCAAGCAGUUAUGCAGGGGUCCAAGAAGUGUGCAUUUCGCCGGCACAACGCGAAGCAUGUGUUCGAAAUUGAGAAACGGCGUGCGCCAAAAGAUGCAGCUGACUCCAGUGAAUCUGUGGAUAUAAAGGUUUUGACUGUGGGCAUGUGUUCGAAACUGAGAAACGGCGUAUGCCAAAAGAUGCAGCUGACUCCAGUGAAUCUGUGGAUACAAAGGUUUUGACUGUGGGAGGUUCGGUGUGGGAGUUUUAGCCCAAAACGCGUUUUCGGAACAUUCCAUUGGCGAUUAGGAGAUGUAUUAUUUCGUCGUUUUUUUGCGCCCUCUUGUGGCGAAAUUUUGCAAAGACAAUUUUCCUUUUCCAAAUAACUCCCGCCCACAUUAAUAAUUCUUGACGAUAAUUUUUAUAUAGACUCGGGUUUGCCCCGUGAUGGUUCCCUCAUAGUUUGAAGAACAUUCCUUUGGCCAAUUAGAAGAUAUACAAUUUCCUCGUUUAUGGCGCCCCCUAAUGGCGACAUUUUCCGAAAUUUUUAUCGUACGACAUUAAGGUUAGCACCAACAUGUGUGUAAAAUUUGGACUCGUUCCGAUGUCUAAUUUUGGAUUUCUUUGGAUUUUUGAUUUUCCACGUCUAAUUUAGCUCAUAAACCAAUAUUCAAAACGCUACCGUUUCGUCGUCGAAGGUCGGAUCAAAAAAGUGUUCUAGCAUUCUUUGCGUGUGCGUCUGAAGAUGCCGUGUGCAAAGUUUGGUGUCGAUUGGUCAAGAAAUGUGGGAGGAGUAGGGAAAAAACUGUUUUGCGGUUUUCGCGAUUUUGCGAAAAAAAAUUCUAGACGCAAAUGGGCGUGGCCUAUGCCAAAAGAUGCAGCAGACUCCAGUGAAUAUGUGCGUACAAGUUUUUGACUGUGGGAGGUUCGGUGUGGGAGUUAUAGCCCCAAACGCGUAUUCCUUGGUAUAGCGCCACCUAGUGGCCGGCAUGUCUGGAUUUUGUCGUCUGCGUAGUCCCCACGGAUCUGGAUCUAAUCAUGCAAUUGGCGUGUCGGCACCAUUUACGGUUUGGGCUGUGGGCACAGUUUCAGGGAGGUAAGUAUAAUAAUAAUAAACACUACAAAAACAAUAGGGAUCCAACCUGUUGGCUUGGACCCCUAAUAAACACUACAAAAACAAUAGGGAUCCAACCUGUUGGCUUGGACCCCUAAAGGGAUCCAACCUGUUGGCUUGGACCCCUAAUAAUAAUCCUUACAAAAACAAUAGGGAUCCAACCUGUUGGCUUGGACCCCUAAUAAUAAUCCUUACAAAAACAAUAGGGAUCCAACCUGUUGGCUUGGACCCCUAAUAAUAAAAAUCCUUACAAAAACAAUAGGGAUCCAACCUGUUGGCUUGGACCCCUAAAAAUAAAUAAACCUUCAAAUGAAACCUUUCAGGUCACAUGACCGGCAGCAAUUUUUUUCUAGCGGAAACACUGGGGUAGUGUAGUCUUGGUCAUGGACUACAAUAGUGGACUACAAUAGUGGACUACAACAAUGGACGUUAGCGGUGACGUUAGCAUUGAC
ensembl:lncRNA